rnacentral:rRNA from 1 species
CCUACGGGUGGCAGCAGUGGGGAAUAUUGCUCAAUGGGGGAAACCCUGAAGCAGCCACGCCGCGUGGAGGAUGAAGGCUUUCGGAUUGGAAACCCCUUUUUUUAGGGAAGAUAAUGACGGUAUCUAACGAAUAAGCACCGGCUAACUCCGUGACAGCAGCCGCGGUAAUACGGCGGGUGCAAGCGUUACUCGGAAUCACUGGGCGUAAAGAGCGCGUAGGCGGGAUAGCAAGUCAGAUGUGAAAGCCUAUGGCUUAACCAUAGAACUGCAUUUGAAACUGGUAGUCUAGAGUAUGUGAGAGGUAGGUGGAAUGCGUGGUGUAGGGGUAAAAUCCGUAGAGAUCAAGAGGAAUACUGAUUGCGAAGGCGACCUGCUAGAACCUAACUGACGCUGAUGCGCGAAAGCGUGGGGAGCGAACAGGAUUAGAUACCCUUGUAGUC